AUUUGACGCGGUGCCUACGUAGCGCUUUCUCGUCUAUCUUCAUCUCUUUUUUUCGUGUUCUGAAUGCGGGUGGUUACUUCGUUACUUAUGCGCUCUGGUAGAUUUCUGUUGCAAAAAUCCACACGCAUUGAAAAUCGCCUCCUCGAAUGUCUUCAUAACUCGGAGAUUACGCCUCCUAAUCCAUGCACUCGUCGAGAUUUGCGAUCCACCCCCGGCGAUCUCUUGGAAUUCUCGCGACUACACACUAUGCACCGCCCACGCCAGGCUUUUCUGCCUCGCAAUUCAUCGCUUCGGCUUCGCACGCGGAAAGACUCGUUACUUUCGAAAGCCUCGCUCCUGCGCUGUAUGCAGCAGGUCUUGUGCAAAUAUUUUGACAAGCAAGAUGUACACGUUUCAAGUGUAUAGGUGGUCGGCGAUGUAAGCGUGUUAUUAAUUGUGCUCGAGUGUAGAUGUUGAAACAUUUUCGCAAGAUGUAAUUCAUUUCCAAGCAUCAUUAUUGACAAGAAAAAUUGGUCGGGAAUUUACAUUCAAUAAUCAUAAAUUGUUUUCAAUAAUUAUAUUAUAAAAAGUUAAUUUAAGAUUCUCUGC